CAUUGAAACACCAAUUCCCUUACAAUCACCAAAGUUAAGCAAUGUUGAGUCUGGUUAGUACCUAGAUGGGUGACUGUUUGGUAAUAUCAGGUGCUGUAAG